rnacentral:rRNA from 1 species
UGGGGGAUUUUGCACAAUGGGCGCAAGCCUGAUGCAGCGACGCCGCGUGAGGGAUGAAGGCCUUCGGGUUGUAAACCUCUUUCGCUGGGUUGAAAGGCCAUGCUUUGGGUGUGGUUGAUUUGAACUGGUAAAGAAGUACCGGCUAACUACGUGCCAGCAGCCGCGGUAAUACGUAGGGUACUAGCGUUGUCCGGACUUAUUGGGCGUAAAGGGCUUGUAGGUGGUUUGUCGCGUCUGUCGGGAAAUCCUGUGGCUUAACCAUGGGCUUGCGGUGGGUACGGGCAGGCUUGAGUGCGGUAGGGGAGAAGGGAAGUCCUGGUGUAGCGGUGGAAUGCGCAGAUAUCAGGAGGAACACCGGUGGCGAAGGCGGGUCUCUGGGCCGUUACUGACACUGAGGAGCGAAAGCGUGGGGAGCGAACAGG